GACGAACGCUGGCGGCGUGCUUAACACAUGCAAGUCGAACGGAAAGGCCCCUUCUGGGGUACUCGAGUGGCGAACGGGUGAGUAACACGUGAGUAACCUGCCCUUGCCUUCGGGAUAACUUCAGGAAACUUGGGCUAAUACCGGAUAGGAAUCCUUGCUGCAUGGUGGGGGUUGGAAAGCUUCGGCGGUUUUGGAUGGACUCGCGGCUUAUCAGCUUGUUGGUGGGGUAGUGGCUUACCAAGGCUUUGACGGGUAGCCGGCCUGAGAGGGCGACCGGCCACAUUGGGACUGAGAGACGGCCCAGACUCCUACGGGAGGCAGCAGUGGGGAAUAUUGCACAAUGGGCGGAAGCCUGAUGCAGCAACGCCGCGUGCGGGAGGACGGCCUUCGGGUUGGAAACCGCUUUCAGCAGGGGCGAAGCUUGUGGUGACGGUACCUGCAGAAGAAGCACCGGCUAACUACGUG
rnacentral:rRNA from 1 species